rnacentral:siRNA from 1 species
GACUAAUAUCAGUCGGUCUACCAU